UACGAAGGGGGCUAGCGUUGUUCGGAAUUACUGGGCGUAAGCGCACGUAGGCGGAUUGUUAAGUGAGGGGUGAAAUCCCAGGGCUCAACCCUGGAACUGCCUUUCAUACUGGCAAUCUCGAGUCCGAGAGAGGUGAGUGGAAUUCCGAGUGUAGAGGUGAAAUUCGUGAGAUAUUCGGAGGAACACCAGUGGCGAAGGCGGCUCACUGGCUCGGUACUGACGCUGAGGUGCGAAAGCGUGGGGAGCAAACAGG
rnacentral:rRNA from 1 species